rnacentral:rRNA from 1 species
GACGAACGCUGGCGGCGUGCUUAACACAUGCAAGUCGAGCGGAAAGGCCCUUUGGGGUACUCGAGCGGCGGACGGGUGAGUAACACGUGAGUAACCUGCCCUGGACUUUGGGAUAACCCUCGGAAACGGGGGCUAAUACUGGAUAUGACUGCUUCUCGCAUGGGGGGUGGUGGAAAGUUUUUCGGUCUGGGAUGGGCUCGCGGCCUAUCAGCUUGUUGGUGGGGUGAUGGCCUACCAAGGCGACGACGGGUAGCCGGCCUGAGAGGGCGACCGGCCACACUGGGACUGAGACACGGCCCAGACUCCUACGGGAGGCAGCAGUGGGGAAUAUUGCACAAUGGGCGGAAGCCUGAUGCAGCGACGCCGCGUGAGGGAUGACGGCCUUCGGGUUGUAAACCUCUUUCAGCAGGGACGAAGCGGCUGGGUUUUCCCGGUCGUGACGGUACCUGCAGAAGAAGCGCCGGCCAACUACGUGCCAGCAGCCGCGGUAAGACGUAGGGCGCGAGCGUUGUCCGGAUUUAUUGGGCGUAAAGAGCUCGUAGGCGGCUUGUCGCGUCGACCGUGAAAACUUGGGGCUCAACUCCAAGCUUGCGGUCGAUACGGGCAGGCUGGAGUUCGGUAGGGGAGACUGGAAUUCCUGGUGUAGCGGUGAAAUGCGCAGAUAUCAGGAGGAACACCGGUGGCGAAGGCGGGUCUCUGGGCCGAUACCGACGCUGAGGAGCGAAAGCGUGGGGAGCGAACAGGAUUAGAUACACUGGUAGUCCACGCUGUAAACGUUGGGCGCUAGGUGUGGGGGGCCUCUCC